UAGUGGAUUGGUUGAUUCAGUGUUCACAGCGACUUUAAGAACGUAACUUCCCUGGAUGGCAGAGGGGACCGUGUAUACAUCUUAGGCAUUCUGCUUUAAAAAGUUGCUCUCCUUUCCCUAAAAGACCUUUCACAUGUGUUUCUGUCCCUUCAGGUUUGUUGAUAAGCCGGGGCCCUUUGUGGUACCCUGCGGUCACUGGAUCAGGCCCUCAGAGACCCUGCAGAGGUACCUGAAGGUGGUGAUGGCCCUCAAGUAUGAGGAGAAGCCGCCGUACGCCAUGCUGAGGAACAACCUAGAAGCUCUGCUGCAGGAUCUGCGUGUGUCUCCAUAUGACCCCAUUGGCCUCCCGAUGGUGCCCUAGGUGGAAUCCAGGUGGGAAGAGCUUGUGAGUCUUAAGCCCUCUCACCCCUUGCCCUCGCCCCAGCCCUGCCCCAGGCUCCAGGAGACGCUUCCCAGAGGCUGUUCCACGUUCAUACCAGGGCCCAGCUUCCCAGGGAGACGCUGGGUUUUUCCACAGGGUCCUUGAACUUCCCAACCUCCAGGAAUGGCAAGUAGCAGAAACCCGGCUCAACUUGGCU
rnacentral:sRNA from 1 species